rnacentral:misc_RNA from 1 species
UCCCGAUUGGCUCGGGCAGUAUCGCCUGAAAAAUACAACAGACGAUAAGGGUUGCGCUCGUUGCGGGACUUAACCCAACAUCUCACGACACGAGCUGACGACGGCCAUGCAGCACCUGUCACUUGGUUCCCGAAGGCACUCCCCUGUUUCCAGGAGAUUCCAAGGAUGUCAAGCCUCGGUAAGGUUCUUCGCGUAUCAUCGAAUUAAACCACAUGAUCCACUGCUUGUGCGGGUCCCCGUCAAUUCCUUUGAGUUUUAGCCUUGCGGCCGUACUUCCCAGGCGGGAUACUUAACGCGUUAGCUACUCAGCACAGAGGGUCGAUACUCCAUACUAAUAGUAUCCAUCGUUUACGGCGUGGACUAC